UGUACCCCUUCAACAUUCCUUUUUUUUUUUUUUUUUUUUGAGAUGGAGUCUCGCUCUGUUGCCCAGGCUGGAGUGCAAUGAUGUGAUCUCAGCUCACUGCAACCUCCACCUCCCAGGUUCAAGCAAUUCUCCUGCCUCAGCCUCCUGAAUAGCUGGGAUUACAAGCAUGUGCCACCACACCCAGCUAAUUUUUGUUUUUAGUAGAGACUGGGUUUCAUCAUGUUGGCCAGGCUGGUCUUGAACUCCUGACCUCAGGUGAUCCACCCGCCUCGGCCUCCCAAAGUACUGGGAUUACAGGCAUGAGCCACCACGCCCGGCCAACAUUCCUAUGCUGAAGUUUUAACCUCCAGUACCUCAGAAUGUGACUGUAUUUGGAAACAGGACCUUUACAUAGGUAAUCAAGUUAAGAUGAGGUCAUAUGGGGGGGCUCUCAUCCAACAUGACUCAUGUCCUUACAAGAAGAGGAGACUAAGACAGACCCAGAAAAAAGACGACAUAGAGACACAGGGAGAAGAUGGCCAUCUACAAGCCAAGGAAAGAGGCUCAGAAGGAACCAACGCUGCCGACACCUUGAUCUUGGACUUUCAGCCUUCAGAACUGUGAGAAUCAGUUUCUGUUGUUCAAGCCGCCUAGU
rnacentral:lncRNA from 1 species